UAAAGCCAGGACAUCCUUCUAUUAUGCUAGGUAAGAACUCUCUCCUGUGUAGCAUCCUCUGUAGUUCCCUUUCCAUUUAUGUACAAACAGUGUCGCUAAAUCGUCAGGGCACCCUUGAACUUUUUGUUUUCUUUGCCUCACAGCCUCUCCUCCCAAGCAGCUGGGGUUAGGAGAUUGUACCUCUAAGCCCCACUUCCAGUAGGGUUCUCUUUGAAAAGUCCUUUUCUGUGAGGAUCCCUUACCAUCUCUCCAGACUGUCUUUUGCUCCCUUUUUCCGAGCAUUUAAAAAUACCAUGCCUAAGAAUCUUUUGCAGGGAAGGGGAUAGUGAGCUGGGAAGGCCUAUUUCUUCAUUUCGAGAUUCUGGUAAUAAACAUGUCAUAAAUAUAAAUGCCAAACUCCGGAAAUGCAGGUGUAGAGCGUCAGAUUCUAUUUGGACUUAAAUGAUGUGGUGUUUUGCUCUAAUUUCUACCGUGCUCUCCGUUCCUCAAGUCCAUGCAUUUCCUUAGGGUGCUGCCUUUCCAGAGUACUGGUAUGCUGCAGGGUGCUCAGUUCCACAUCUGUCUGCACUAUUUCAAAGUUUCCCUCCAGCCCACACAACUAUGCCUAGAGCUAGAGGUUAGAACCGUCUGUCCAUGCUCUUUAACCAACCACUCCAGAUAGGUGUGGUGGUUUUUUUUUUUUUUCUCUGUACUAAAAUUAGGACAGUCCAGGCCUGUUGUUAGACCAUUCACACCACAAAGCAGUCACCAAUCAAAGGCCAGCGGAGAAUCGGAUCUUCACCACUGCAGUUUCCAAUUUAUUUUCAUUUUCCGGACCUUGGAAUCCCCCCCCCCCUUUUAAAUGGGUGCAUCAUCCCUAAUAUUUUUUUAUUUUUUAUGUUAUUAUCAUUUUAUCCAGCAUUACUGUAUCAUUAAUGGCAAUUUUAAGUCUCUCGUUUUGCCAGUUCAAAAAAAAAAAAAAAGAAAGAAAGAAAGAAAAGAAAAAGAAAAAGAAAAACACGUAAUACUUUUCUUCAGUACAAAAGGUAGUCAUGACGGAAUAAGGCGCUUAAGGGGUUCUGUGAUAUGAGAUUUUCACAGCCUAGCUGGUUUCUGUAAAGUUUACAAGGAAAAGCUCGCAUUGCAACUUAAGUGCCACGAGGGGAGAAAUAUUCCCUUGCGUGUUCACUGCUGUAUGUCCCUUGUACCUGAUAAUUCAGGCACUUAUCAUCGGAAAGGGAGAAAAAAACGGAAGGAAAAACAUAAGUCCUGACGGCUGAAGGGCCAGUCUGUGACUAUGUCCUCCAAUAUGCAACCGGACUCAUCUGCUAAAUGUGGCUGGCGAAAGGGGUAAAGGGGCAAGGCCAGGCAAGGCCUUCUUUCUAGACGGGCCUGUUAUUUUCUCUUUCUACGGGCAUUUUGUUACUUUUCAGUUUGGUCGCCGAGCUUUUCAGACAGGAUAACCCUAUGUAUUGCAGGCGCCAUUUUGAGGGAAUGACCUGAAUAAAUGGUUUCCUGACAGAACUCUGACCACGGUUCUGCACAGGACUUGUUUCAAAGGGUCUUCAGACACGGUUCUGGGGGGCAGGGGAGUGGCGCAAGUCUGUACAUCUGUGAGGCUCCGGCCUAGCUCUGCACUGAGCACUGUUCCUCGCGCAUGCCCCAUGCGUACCCCUCACAUACUCGGGUGGGCGACGUGGGUCCCCAGGCCCCCCGGCGAGGGCCGAGGGCUGCCGCCCACUGGCUGAAGCCCAGGACAAGGCCAGCCACCCACAGUCUUUCCCUAGGGCGAGCCACCCACACCUCAGUGUUUCACAGACUCCCGCCAAGUCUGCUCAGCUGCCUUGGAGGCCCUCGGCUCUCCUUCCACAGCCACCUUGGCUUUUUGCCCGUUGGCGGCCAGGCUGCCACUCCGCAGCUGCCCUGAGAAGCUGCUAACCACAUGGCUUCGGUGGUGCCACCUUCGAGUUAUUUUUCAACCGGACUUCCAGCCGCCAUCAUGGGAGGAAAACUUGAAUAGAAUUGUUCAUUGACUCAGCCCACUCAGCCACCUAGCGCGGGUGAGUCAAAACCCUUUCCUUUCCGAUAUUCGUUUUUACUUUAUUAUCAUGUGCAAAUGCUAUAGAUGUUUUCUAGGCAUCUCCAAACUUCUUUAAAUGACUCAUGUGUUUAUAAAUACUUUGGCUAUGGUAUUUUAUUUCUAGCAAGUAUUUCCUCAUGAUUUUUCAAAAACCAUUCAAGUCAUAUACUUUAAAAAGAAGAUCAUUCUUUUUCUUGGAUGAGGGAGAUAGUUCAGUUGGUAGACUGCUUGCCUUCCAAGAAUGAAGACAACCUGAUUUUGAUUCCUUAAAUUCACAUAAUAAAGUCAGAUGUGGUGAUGCAUGCUUUUAACACCAAGAUAGGGAAGAGGAGGCAAGAGAAUAACUGCAUGCCACUGUUGGUCUGCGUUCUGCUCACCUCAGGGUAGGGAUGGCAGCUCAGGAGGCAAAACAUCUUUGGUUGGGGAGGGGUUUGACUGUGCUUAUCCAGCCAUAGCCAGUUGGGUGCUGGGUUUCAGGGAAGACUCAGCUCCAGGUGAGGGAAAGCACAGUCUGAGAUGUGUGAAAGCCAGAGCUGGUUCAGAGGUCUUUGGCCUGCAAUGAGGGUGGUGCUGCGGGGUUCCUCUGACUCUCCGACAUCCAGAUGCUGCUGGGAGUCUUGGAACAGCCUAGAACUGAGUCAGAGGACCUGCAGGCUGAGGACAGCAUCUAGCCUGGGGCAGGAGUGGUGGAGUAGGGAUGGAGGAAGAGGGUUUCCAGCUUAGCUGCUGUGACUGUCCUUAGCUUGGUGGUGGUUGUCUGGGAGUACAGAUGAGCCUUCUACAGGAGACUUAGCUGUGGUUCUGUAGGCCUUUUCCACGCUGCCCUGGUGGAUCUUGAUGAAAGACAGCCCAUGUUUCUAAACUGUUCAUUCAUUAUUCAUGGCAGAAAAUGGAUCCAUACCCUACUUCUCAGAGUGGACCCAAGAUUAAAUACCUUUUGGACGGAGGAAUGUCUGGAAGGGAAGCUUAUUGGCUAAGUCCUCAGGGCCUCUAGGUACCUCAUUAGCAUGGAGAACUCUGCUCUGGGCCCACAAGACUACAGGCCAGGUUUCCUUAUGUGGGGAAUGUGGCACAUGUUCCAGGCCAGGAAUCUGUCACCUAAGUCUCAGGUGUGUGCCCACCAACUCUCUGGGUCUCAACCUGCUCCACCUUAGCAAACUUUCUGGUGUUGUUUUACCAUCCCACAUUCCACUAGCCACCGCACUAGCAAAUUCUGGAUUUCCAAACAAAUGAGAAAACAUUUGGUAAAUGGCUCCUGAGAAACAACAACCAAUGCUGUUCUAUAACCAAUUGUCACACACACACACACAGACACACACACACAUACACACAUACCAUACUUUUCUCUUUUUUUAUGAGCAACGGUUUUACCAAGGUUAUCUCUCAGGAGACUAUAACCAUUCCUUUGAUUAAUUAAUAUUCAUUUAACAACAGAGAAAUCAAUAUUUGGAUUCCAUAGUUCCCAUUUUAUAACUGGAUCUUGUAUUUUAAUUAGGAAUAUUGAUGAUGCCCAAUAUAAACGUAACAUAUUUUCAUAUUUCCUUUCUUACUUUGUAUUUAAGAUAUGUGAUAAUGCAUGUGUGUAUGAGAGACCCCAUAUCUUGAUGUGCACUUGUCCAUUCUUUCACAAAGAUAGUUUAAAGUAGUAAAAGUGUGGCCAAGUACUUUUAUGGUUAAGAAAUAAGGGGAGCAUUAGGACAAGUUUUAGUGACAGAGCACUAGGCCACACCCAAUGCUGUCACCCACCUUGCACUGUCCUCAUGUGCGUUUUGCUGAACGAGCAAUCCCUUUCUCCCAGGAUGGUAGCAUUUUCGUCUUUUUACACCAUCUUCUUAUAACAGAGGAUGUAGUUCACUUCUGCCUUGUUUGCCUACUCUCUCAAAAUAUGACAAUGUGACAGCUGAGUGGGAAAGGAGCUGAAGGGUUGGUCAAAAGCUACCAAGGGUCUCAGCCAGAGUGUCUUCCUUCAACCCACCAUUGUGAGUCACGGUUCCUCCUGACUUUAAGUCAGUGACCUUCAGGAGGAUUUUAGGUAACUUUCAAGGCUAGGUGAUAUGACAAGGGAUAGCAUCUUCCUGACUCUUCCAAAACUCCUUUGACCUAGUACGAUGCUGUAAGGAAUCUAAGUGAGCACAUGGAGAGGUCAUCCAUGACUGUUUAGCAGAUAGCUCCAGCUGAGGUCCACGUUAAUGGCAGUCAGCCAGCAUCAGCUGCUGACCUGAGAGUAACACAGGCUGCUCUUGCCCUCUAGGUUUAGACCUUCUCCAGUGACCUGAUGGAGCUGACAGACAAAUUGCAGACUAAUGAGCUAAUACUAAUACCUCUUGUGAUUUUAAGAUAAUUGACCUACUGGUCACUGCACAAAGCUUCCUGCAAGUGCUACAUGGUCCCACUGCACAGAAGUCCCACUCAGUCCUUUCCACCAUAUAAUAAUUAGGUACUGUGUUAUGACCAAUCAGCCUUUCCUGCCUGUAAAUCCCCCACCCCACUCCACAAAAAAACCUCUGAGGAAAGUCACACAGCCUAUGGCCAGAUUACAGGUUCAGCUUCCUCUUGCCUGAUAAGAACUUGCCAGUUGGUUCUUGGAAUUCCUCUUCAUGUAAGUGAAUUGUCCCAGCCCUAGCCAAUAAUGGAGACCUACCCUGGAAAUCCCUACCCACUCCCCAAGAUCUACCUUGUUCACUUGAUUUGUCUCACUGAAGCUGUUUCUGGAGGUACUCAUGGCUAAACUCUGCCCCCCUAAAGGCUGGAUAAUAUUCCAGUAUGCAGACACAUUACAUCACAAACUUUUCCAUUUGGGUGUAAGUCCAACUCAUUCAUUCAUUCAUUUAAGCAGGGCCCCAAUAAGUAGACUAGGCUUGUCUCGAACUGGUAGUGGGCCUCCUGCCUUUGCCUCUUAUGUGUUUGAAGAGAACUGUCAUGUGCCACAACGGCUGUCUCUUACUUUUUCACUCCACUGCCUCAUCCUUUUGUUGCCAUAUUUAAGAAAUUACAGACAAAUGUUAAGUCAAGGAGACUUGUGCCUGCAUAUUCUAAGUUUUAUCUCCAUCUUGAGUUUUAUUGCAUACGUUGGUAUAUGAUAAGAGGAAAGGGUCCAGCUUCACUCUUUUGCCUAUGAGAAAUUUAGCCUUCUGAGCCCCAUUGUUCAUGGUGUUGGACAUCCAUGGAAAGGAUGACUUCCUGACUGUAGAUUAUUCCAUAGCAUGCUAUUAAUUAUUCCUCAUCCUCCUGUAGUGCUGGAGAAAUGCGUAUCAUUUACUCCUUGCCCAGACCUUCCUUUAGAGAACCCGUCCACCUCACAGCUCCAGAUAGGCAAUCUCAUGACUCUUGGAUGUGGUUGACUGACUACUUCAUGGAGACAUACUCAGCCAAAGCUGACUUAACAGGCUUUACUCUGGAUAUGUGUUACCCACAAAGAUCCAUUAUGAAUUCAGUUAGCUCUCAAGGAUUGCACUGUAGGAGAUAGUUUGGUGUAGGGUCUGGUGGGAGAUCUUUAGGUCACUGGGGAAGUAACCCAAGUGUAGGAUCUUUUCCUCAAGAGACCCAUUGAUGUAUAGACAGAGUAGAUAUAAAAGCCUGAGUUUGGCUUCACCCAAGUUCCCUCUCCGUUCCCUCUCCAUCCUCCUCUCCCUUCCUCUUCUUUUCUCCUUCCCUGUCUCAUUGCUGCUGCUUCCUUAAACAAGAUAGAUCAUUCCUCUCCCCACAGGUCACACUUUGACAUUCACCAUGAAGCCCUCAGUCAGAAUUCAUUAUUGGUGACUUUUGUCUUCUAUAAUAUCAAAUGUACUUUGCAAACAACACCAUACCAAAUGACUAUGCUAAUGAGAAAACAAACAAAAUGUAAACAAAUAUUCUCAGGGUUUGGUUCUUAUGGGUGGAUUGAUGUCUAUGUGCAGAUGAGGGCAGGCACAAGAUAAGGCAAGGCCUGUGAUUGGGCAGUGAAAAAGUAAGGAGGGCACAAAGAUUUGAAGAGAGGAGAGUGAGAAAGGAGAAGAACCAAGAUGGAGGAGGAGAAGGACAACCCAGGUCUGUGUGGCCUUAAAGGGCCACAGGUAGCAAGUUGGGUUGAGAUGCUUUGUUGAUUAAGAUGCCGUGUGACCUGCUGGAGCCGGCACUGGUGUGGGUUGAGAGAUUUUUUUUUUUAAUAUUUACCGCUACACUUAUGCUAAGUAUCUAGUCAGGAAUCUUAUAAAAACUGCAGAAAUUAUAUUUGAAUUUAACAGUCAUAACACAGUUCUUUAACUGUUGUUUAAAUAGUCUUUAAGUGUUACCAUUGAUUUAGAAUUGGCUUAGUAAUGAGGCAUAUAAGCCUCAAAUAAGUUUAAUUUAAAUCUAAGUGUAAUUUUCUCUCAAGAAGGCCAGGUCUCUACCCAGAACCUCUGUGUCCCGUGCCAUGGUGACAGGCAUCUGGUGCUGCUCUCCUACAACACAGCUCAGGGGCAAAAUCCUAAGAUCUCCUCAGCCUUCCUAUCAACUGGAGAGUCUAAGAAUGCACUCUCUGCUUUAAAGACACUUAUCCCAACUUGCUUCUAGUACUUCUGUUUAUAUCUUAUUGGGCAGAACCAAAUCAGUUAGGAUUCUGGGAAAUGUAGUUUCUACUGGAGGCAGCCAUGUCCCUGUCUAGAAUCUGAGAGUUUUGUUGCUAAGGUUGGUUGAGAUAACAGGUAGUAGAGACAAAUCGGAUUUGGUCAUACUUUGAGAUAAAAUGUGAACUCACUGUCAAUGAAGUCUUGACCAACCAGAUAUAGCUUGCUCUCCUGCUUCCUAAAGGGGUUUGAUGUUGCUUCUAACCUUUGUUUUGUUUACCUUUUCUCUCAGGUGGAGGACUCCAUACCACCUUUGCACAUGCACUUACUGCUGGGAUUAAGGAACCCUGCAGUAGAUGCUCUGUCACCAUGAAUAUCUUCAUAUCUAAUAUCUAAUAUCGCUAAUACUUCUGCUUUGUAGCAACUAUGACCAUUGAAAGUGCAAGUUAUUUACCUUCUGGUUCACUUUGUUCUGCUUCAUCUUUAUCUUUAAGCCUCUAAGUCCUAUGAAUCAGGGGCUUGGUUUGGUUCAUGCCUGUAUUCCCAGCAUUAUACUAAUUAGUUUCUUAUUAAGUUGUCCCUACUCCAUGGGAAAACUCACGGUUUAUUUGAUUAAACAAAACUAAAAUGAUCUGCCUAGAAACAAUUUUAAAGUCUCCCAUAGCUGAUCCAGCAACUCCUCUAUUCUUCUCCAGCCUCUGUGGACCACAGCAAUGUAUUCAGAAGCUCGUGACCUCACAUAGGAGGUUUCAGACAAUUCCUUACAGCUCCUUCAUCUGUUCACCGUCUGCCAUGCAACCCCCAAUGUUAUUAUUUAAGUUUUAAAGGAAAAAGAAAAACCAAAGGAAAACAAUGACAGGAUGUGGGGAUUUGUAAUUGAAAAAAAGUUCAAAAAAGUCUUAUGGAAUCAACUAAUGAGCUUUCAGAUAGAACGACUUCAUGGAAUGACACAGUCUAGUUUUCUCAAUGUCACUGAAUGAAAGUUUCACUUCACAUUCAAAGUCUUCCUCAAAUGCCCUGGUUUCGUCCCCUGCCUUGGUAGGGACAGCAUGCCCCCUGAGCAUUUGCCCUGUCCUGGACAGCCAGAGGCUUGCCGUGGCCGAGGACCAGUGUACUAUCUGCCAGUCUAUGCUGACCCAGCCAACAAAAACUGAGGAAGAGGGCACCUCAUGGAAGCUGUUGUACUCUGGGUGGUGCUGUGUUCCAAAAGCUGCUUUAGACACAUGUGUGCAGCAGAAACCUUGUUUUUACCCCUAAAGUGGCAUGUCAAAAAAAAAAAAAUCAGGUACUUCUGCUUCUGAAUUGGCAGAGGAUUUAUUUUAUGCAUAAUUUUCCAUGUUUCUUGGGAAGAAAAGAAUGCACCUCUUUUAUAAGUGCUUCAUUCCUUUCCACCAAUGUGAGCCAUCUUGAGAUCUCUGCAGGAUAGAAACCAAACCAAAUGGGCAUCGUGGGUUGCCCAGGGGCAGGGCAUGGGAGUGGGGUCAGAAGAAUAGAAAUCUGUCUGUCAAUCCUCUCUCCCCUCCCCUUUUCACCCACAAAGGCAAAAGACUCUUUCAUUAGGGGCUCCACAGAUCCAAUCCAUCCCUGCUAGGUGAGCCUUUCCUAGAAACAAGCACAAAAGGGAUCUAGCAGCAAAGCAAGCACUGAGGGAGUGAGAUGGGCUACCAAGAGAGGAGAGGAAAAAAAAUCAAUAAUGAAAAGGAGCAUUUCAGUAUAAUUUAAUCUUCUGUUUCAAUAAAGGCAUUUAUUACCAUAUAAAUGUAGCAAAGAGCCUGGGCUAAUAUGAAAAUGAGUUUUAUUAGGUAAUUAUGAUACAAAAAUUAUAUUCAAUGAGAAAGUGACCCAAAAAAACUUUAGAAAGUUUACUAUGUAGGUAGGGAGAGAAGAAAAUACAUUUCUAUUCAGAUUCAAAUUUUAAUUUUUUAAUAUAUGUUUGGGUUUAAGCUCUUUUUGCCCCCCACAUUUUCGGGGGAGAAAUAUCAUUUGAUUUUCUUAUGGGAGUAUUCUGGAUGGAGAGUAGAGAGGGGAUGGGAGGUGGUCCCUCCUAGGGCCCCAACAAUAGAUUUGCUUUCACUCUGUGGGAUCCCCUUCCCCCUUUCUGAACCCAACCCCCAGGAGAGUAAGCAGAGCCAAACAAAGGAAGGGAUUAAACAGAAAAGAAGUGUGGGACUAAAAACUGAGGGUCUUAGAGUUUCCUUCUUUCCCCUUCUCUGAGCAAUUGGCAGUUAGUAGGGAUAAGUCAGGUCUAACAGGCCUGGAGAAACCCUCAGAGGUGUGAGAUGUAAAGAAAUAGAUUUUUUUAACAAUUUUUUCUGUAGAUGAGAGGAUAAACUGAGGGAUUUAAAAGAAGAGAAUACUACAAAAUAAUUGAAAUUUAUUUCAUAUAAUCCUAGAGAAAGAAAAAGAAUUACUAGUUACUUAGUAGAGGAUAGUCAGAGAGCUUAAAGUUUAGUAGCAUUAUGGGCCCCUGAGCGAAGUAGAAUGGAGAAAAGUAUGGGGGAAUAAAAGAAUAGAGGCCAGUGGCUAAGCUGCCCUAACCCUGAGGACAGGGCUAGGGCAGGCUGUUAACUAGGGUUGGGAGCUUCCAGUCUGCUGGGGUUGAUUCUGAGAAUCCUUAGGCUUAAGUACAGGACAAGUACAUGAGAGCUCUGUCCCAGGGCAUUUGCAAGGGUCAUCUGAAUCUCGGUGAUUCAGGACCGAGAGCUUGACCAUCUAAAAGGAAACCUCUAUUCAUACUGUCCAAGACACCGAAGACAGCCUCUCCCAGGUUACCCUGACAAAGUCCUUGAAGUCACCUUGGUUCACCUUGCUACAAGGUUCAAGAGCCAGGUACUCAGAUACUCUGCCUUUAUCUCCACAAGAGGUUUCUCACUUUGGAACAUGGAGUUCCCAAGUCAGGUUUUCUCUGUGUAGCCCUGACUAUCCUGGAAUUCCCUCAGUACACCAGGCUGGCAAGUAACUCAUGGAUCCACCUGCCUAUGUUGCUGGAAGUAAAGGUGUGCACCUCCACCACAAGGCUUCCUCAAGGCAUUUGCAAUCAUUCAACUACCAAAUGUGGAGAGUCUAGUGACCAUCCCCAGGCACCAGGCACAGGGAUAGCAGCUAAUGGGAAGCAGGCCCAGUAGCCCAAGCGAACAAAGUUCAGAGGGGCAGGAGGAAUACAUGUAGACACUCUACACAGCAGGGUGAUGUGAUGGGCCCCUGAGCCCUGUAGAAUGGAGAAAAGUAUGGGGGAAUAAAAGAGUAGAGGCCAGUGGCUAAGCUGCUCUAACCCUGAGGAUACCAUAGCAAUCUCUCCUAAGGUAUUCAGAGCAAAGGAUUCCUUGGCCCCUAGCACCUAAAAUAGACAGCAUGGACAGCCAUAACCCCGUGGGUUUGAGGGACGUGGGAAGGGAAUCAGCCAUGUUUGGAUUCUUUUCAGAGUUAAAUCCUAAUGGCUCCAUAUUCUGUGUGCAGGCCCUAGCCUAUUGACCUCCACAGUUGAACAGUGAAGAGGCAGGAAGGACUGAGGCUGCAGUUGACCUGGCCCAUGGUGAAGUCCUGCACUGGAUAACAGUCACUGAGAAUACCUUGGGAAGGAAUAUGAAGGUGUCCUGAGGAGGCAGAUCUAGGAGUGCACUUUUCCUUUCUAGAAGGCUGUCAACAAAACUGAAACAGGACUCUGGAGACAUUCCUGUCUCCUAUGAUUUAGAUGAUGGAAACUAAGUGUACCAAAUAAUGAAGCUUCACUAAGAGCCUGGACAGAAGGUAGCUUCUGUACCAGGUGUCACUAAACCAGUCACAGAAUGCAGGGGAAACAACAUCAGGCCUUUGGCAUCAGGCUCUAGAGAGUACUGCUGUAAGGUCUAGUGAAAGAAUGCUGACAUAGGUGAACUGUCCUACCGUCCAGAAAUUACAGCUAUGACUGAGACAUUUAUAGUAACCAAAGUUUUGAUUAAUGCACAGCUCCAUGCCCCUGAGAAUGUGAUACCUCAGUCCAAAGGAGGGCAGACCUGGCUGAAUUGGACAGUGCCCAGAAUCUCCUGUGUGGAAGGCAAUAUGCAAGCACAGACCUAGGACAGUCACAGUGACCUCAGAGGAUUAGGAAAAGAAAGCACAAUCCUCAGUACAGCUGGAUCAAGAUACAUCCAGGUGCAAGGAAGACAUUUAGGAUGUCUGUUCUGUGAAUAUAAAUUUGAUCCUGGCAACUUGGUAGUCCUUAAUAAAACUAAAAUUCUGUCUUCUUUGGCCCUCUCCAAGUUUGCAGAACUGCCUUUGAUCCUGGUCCAUGCAUGGGUCAUAAAAAUCCACCCUUCCUUGAGGCAGAGACUUGCAACCAGACCCUGAAGAUGUGUGAAACCUCCUGGCGGCUGUGAUGCUGGUGGUAUCCUAAGUCCGCUGGGCCUAUAGAGGGAGGGAGAAGUAUCUCAAGGAAUGAGAGGAAGGUGGCUUUUGCCUCCAAACAAUGUGGUGAGAAUCUGUCACCUCUAAAAAGAAAUAGGUGCCCCAUCAUGAGUUCCAAUAUAGGAAUCUCCCUCAGGACAACAAUUAACCAUCAAGGCAGGAUGCUCCCCUUUUGGAAGAAGACAGACAGAAAGACUUUCAACAUCCUCUGAGGCUUCUCCUGCAACUUUCCAAAAGUCCUUCCCAGAAAGGGAUAGGGCAAUGCCCCUGAAGAAAUGAGGGAGCACUGACUUAGGGUCAGACCUCCAGUUCAUCAUAUGUUCCACAGCAAAAAUUCAUUCAUUCAUUCAUUGAGUCAGUCAUUCCCUCCCUCUUCACUGAAAAAAAUGUGGCUAGAACGUCCCUAGUUUCUCCUACCCUGAACCAGUUUUCCAAAUAACACAGUUUGUGGUUCCUGCCUACAAUAGCAGAAUACUUUUUGAACCAGUUUUCCAAAUAACACAGUUUGUGGUUCCUGCCUACAAUAGCAGAAUACUUUGAAUUUAGGUCUUCGACCUCCAUUCCCAAUGUCAUGGCAGUCACAGAAACAUUGGCAGACUGCUGCCUCCCAGAGCACCCAACUGCCAUGCAGUAUGUUUACCUAUUCUGCACUUGUGUGGUCAUGGGUUCGUUUCUUUUGUUGGGAUCCCUAUUCUGCAGUUGUGCAUUGUUUCUCCUAAUCAACUCCAAAAUCCAGAUGAUCCUGUUUAAGUGAGCCAUAGACUUCAUUAAAUCCACUGGUGCCACGGUCCACUCAGACAGAGGAUACCACUGUGGGAGAAGGAGGGCUCUGGUACUCAGGAAGGCACAGGUUUGGUGCAAUGACAGACAGACACAACACACUCAGGGUGAUUUGAAUCUGCUGCGAUUUUACUAAAUUUCUGCUUAGUGGUUAUAUACAAUGCUUGAACAGGAGCUAAUUUUUGGCCCCUUGCCAGGGUACAGUCAAACCAUAACAAAGAAAAAGUUUAACAGUUUAAAUGAAGUUCAGAACAGAAAGCAAGACAGGAAAUAAACUUUCCUGAGAAUCGGACUGGUGCCAGACGGUGGUCAUAAACCUCAUUUACCUCCAUCUCUAAAUAUCAUCUCUCGGAUAACAACAGGACAGCCAGCUGUAAGGAAUCUUUAGUCUUUUACUCUCUCUUAGCCAAAAUUCAUGUAAUCGUCUUUUUAAAGGUAGGAUAAUUCCUUUUGAUAAUAGGCAAGCAGGGGGAUGUGAUCUGGCCAAGUGUUCUAUAAAAUUUAAAGAAAAAUAUAAUACUCUCUUUCCAUCAAUAUUAACCCAUCUAUCACCUUCUUCAUUAUAUGUCCCUGUGUAGGGCAAUGGCUGUGCAGCGGUCCUGUAUCUACUCAGGCUGUUUUUACCUGGAGGAGGGGCCCACCACCUUCCUCUAAUUAAAUAAUGUUUUCUUCCAUGUAACUACUUGAUAGGAAUUCCUAAAUGUAUGGAUUUUUUUAUAAUUGACGGGACUUUCCCCUCUAAUUGCUAGUGCCUUGAUUCUUUCACUAUCUAGGAGGUCUGGAUUAUCCACAGUUCAUUCUUCCUGUUAUAAGUUAUUGAUCACAUCUCUUAGAGUUCCAUUCUGAUUCUACUUAAUUUUUGCUAGUGCUUUCAAAAGAGGCAUGGUCCGUAAAGCCCAAAUCAGGUCUCGAUGUUCCCAUUAGUAGAAAAAGGAACAAAGGGGUCUGUUCAAAUCAGUAGGCAGAAAGUCGAGAGGAAGUGGCCAAGUGUCUCCAGGAGACCAGGUUCCGAGGAACACAUAUCUCUGGCCUGCUGACCACGAUUGUUUCAUGUCAGACAGGCUCCACUGGAGCUGGGCCAGCACUAUUUCAUGUGGGCUUUGCUUCCCAGGUGAGCAAUCGUUUCUCAUGGGUGAAUUGAGACCCAUUCCCUGCACGUGUGGCUGUAUAUAUCCAGGCAACUACACCAGAUCCCCUCACAUAAGCUUUCUGUUCCUUGCCUUCCCAACUAAGCUGCUUGAUUCAUGAGUGCAGCUUCCAAAAUUGAACAGAAUUAGUUUCUGGUACUGUAUAACAAGGAGGCAAGUCUCAUUACCUUGUAUGACACCUGAGAUUUAGAGCCAGACCUAAGCACAUGAAGUCAACUUUAAAGAGUGCAGACACGUGACUCUUUGUCCAGCCCACGUGGUGUUUUUAAGAAAGCACCAUCCAGAUCUACAAAAGGUUAUCGUAGGAAAGAAACAGUCAUUAUUCUACAGGACUAGAGGGCACAGUUCACAGGAGUGGGUAGAAGUAGGGAGGAGACCCAGAAUAUAGAGGGAUAGACAGAGCUGUCCCGCAGAGUAGAGUUCACCUUCCAUGCUCUUACUCAAAGUGGGCAGAAAUCCUGGCAAUAAACAGAACCCUAUAGCCUUCAACCUUCCCAUUAGAUCUCAGAUUCCUUGUUUAUUCUUACUGAAGAAUAAACAAGGGUACAGCAGGAACACUCAUAUUCUCUAGGUCACAAGGCCAUAGUAGGAAAUGAAGAGCUGUAUAGGCAAAAAUACAUUGAAAAGAAUUUAGUCACCAAGAGCAUGCACUAUGUAUGGCUUCUGUGUAUGUAACCCUCAACAGCAGUGCCCGUGCUGAUCAGUGCACAAGAUGCUGGCCCAGCCUAAAGGAAAUAGAAAAUCAAAAUCUGCAUGGGUUUGCACAGGGCUGAUACUGCUUUUGUCUUCAAGGGAACUAACAGGUUAUGAGCCAGACUGGCUGGGAGUGCGGAGUUCCAAUGCAUCCUUGCUUGAAGGGUUUAUGUCCUUCUCUGUGUAUAAACGGGCCAACAAGUGCAUGGGUGCUGAAAGUUGUUUAGACAAUCUUGACAAUCAAAUGACAGUACCUGGGGGAAACCCCAGUCCAAGACCUGUUACAGAACAGAUGUUCAAUAAAUAUGUGCAGUCAUCGGACUCUUGCUCUGUCAGCCUUGACUAUGCCAGUCUUUCAGAAACUUCAGAGGAGAACUAGGCCAUCUUUGAGUUUGUGCAUCCUGCUUGACACCUCUGACAUUUAUUAUCAUGAAUAAACAUUACUUCCAAAAUCCCAAGUGGAAAAAGAAUGGGGCUGAAGGCUGUAAACACCUGAGUGGAAGUACGCCAGGUGUUACCCACCUUUGUGUGACAUUGAGUUUGUUAUUGACACUCUGUGUCCUUCAGUCGUAGGGCUCACUCUGCUGACUCUGAGAUGACCCAAUGAACCUGUAGGAGACCCAGAACUAGGUGCUAAUCCUCCUUUGAAAGAUACUACAGGGACAUCUCAUUUUCUUAGGGUGGUAGUGCUUCUAAGUAGUUUUCUCUUGGUUAAGAUUCAUGUAGACUCACUCUUAAGAAAACAUGAGUUUUCAGCCUUUGUGUCUCCUAGAUCUUGUUCCUGCUCAAGCAAGCUACAGUAAGAUGUCAGCCUGAAUACAGUUUUAAAUACCAAGGGCUGAAUUAAUUAUUUCUAGAUUGGGGAAAAUACAAAACUAAAACGUAAGGCCAGGUUCAGAGCACCGGAAAUUUCAGGACUGAAAGUUGAUCUCUUGGGUUUAUUCAUUUAUCCGGUUCAACAAUAUUUGAGGCAUUCUUAACCAUUUAGUGGCAUUCUGUAGAACCGAUAGUCAGUUUCAUUUGAAGCUCAGUCGUAGCUGGAAAGAUCUGGGAAAAAUUGGAAACAGUAAAUGAGCCUCAGAGUAGGUAGAGUGGCCAAUAAGGGGAAGUUAGAGAAGAUGUCAUUAACGGGUCCCUGAAGCUGGAUUUGUUAGGAAUUUGUGCUCUGAGCAAGGGAGAUUAGAUUCCAUCCCAUGUUAGAAGUUUUAAUCAAGGAGGCAACAUGGGUGGACUGAUUGACUAACUAGCUUUCUAUUAAUUUUAGUCAGGAUCUCAGGCUACCAUCCAACUCAAAAUUCCCCUAUCUCAGCCUCUGAAGUGCUGGGAUUGCAGGGAUAUGCUUUUAUGCCUGGCUGACUCUCUGUCUCAAUAUCUCUCUGUGUCUCUGUUUGCCUCCACUUCUCUUUGUGUGUGUGUGUGUGUGUGUGUGUGUGUGUGUGUGUGUAACUCUCAGAUCCAUGAUCCAUGAUCAAUAUACUGAACAGUUCCAUUUAUGCUCACAAUAUGCCUGCUAUCAUCCUGCCAUAGUCACAAACAUCUCACCUUUAACAACUGCAACCAUAGAUUUCAUCUCUAUCACAAUGUUGUGUCACCACAAAAUGUCAUAUGCACAGAUAUGUUUCAGUCAGUAAAGUGUGUGCUGUGCAAGCAGGAGAAACUGCAUUUGGAUUCCUAGCAGAACCUUACUUCUACCAUCACCAUGACUGCCAACAUUAAAGAAAAGUUUGGAAAAGCAGUAUAUGUCUAUAAUCCCAGCAUGAGACAGGGGUUGGGAGAGUGAGAGAGGUCCCUGAAGUUUACUCUCCUGUCAGUUUAGCUGAAUUGGUGAAUUCAAGGUGCUGUAAGAGAUCACGUCUCUAACAAACACACAACUAAAACCAUGAAGAGUGAUGUGGUAAGUAAUGUAAAAGUCAACCUGUGGGUGGCAUGCACACUUGCUCACACUCAGAAGUGCACACUGAUACCAACACCUGUACAUACCUAUAGCACAGGCAUCUAUGUGUGGACACAGAUAGUUUUGGAUUGAUAGUUCCAUGCUCUAAGGCAUUGUAAAAUUCUGUGAGAAACUGUCAGACUAUUUCCAGAGCAGCUGAGCUGGUUUCCAGUCAGUUAGUAAUGCCUGAGUGUUCCAAGUGAUCUCUCCACAUCAGCACCUGGUAAGGCCUGCUAAGUAGUUUGGUCAUUCUAAUAGCUCAGGGCUCUCUCAUUGUAGGGAUUUGAAUCCCUACAAUGUGCUAGGUAUGUGGAAUAUCUUUUUUUUCUCCUUUUUUGUUUUUAUCUUUAUUAACUUGAGUAUUUCUUAUUUACAUUUCGAUUGUUAUUCCCUUUCUUGGUUUCUGGGCCAACAUCACCCUAACCCCUCCCACUCCCCUUCUAUAUUGUUGUUCCCCUCCCCAUCCUCCCCCCACUACCGCCCUCCCCCCAACAAUCACAUUCACUGGGGUUCAGUCUUGGCAGGACCAAGGGCUUCCCCUUCCACUGGUGUCCUUACUAGGCUAUUUAUUGCUACCUAUGGGGUUGGAGCCCAGGGUCAGUCCCUGUAAAGUCUUUGGGUAGUGGCUUAGUCCCUGGAAGCUCUGGUUGGUUGGCAUUGUUGUUCAUAUGGGGUCACGAGCACCUUCAAGCUCUUCCAGUCCUUUCUCUGAUUCCUUCAACGGGGGUCCUGUUCUCAGUUCAGUGGUUUAAUGAUGGCAUUCGCCUAUGUAUAUGCUGUAUUCUGGCUGUGUCUCUCAGGAGCGAUCUACAUCCGGCUCCUGUCGGCCUGCACUUCUUUGCUUCAUCCAUCUUGUCUAAUUGGGUGGCUGUAUAUGUAUGGGCCUCAUGUGGGGCAGGCUCUGAAUGGAUGUUCCUUCUGCCUCUGUUCUAAACUUUGCCUCCCUAUUCCCUGCCAAGGGUAUUCUUGUUCCCCCUUUUGAAGAAGGAGUGAAGCAUUCACAUUUUGGUCAUCUUUCUUGAGUUUCAUGUGUUCUGUGCAUUUAGGGUAAUUCAAGCAUUUGGGCUAAUAGGCACUUAUCAAUGAGUGCAUACCAUGUAUUUCUUUCUGUGAUUGGGUUACCUCACUCAGGAUGAUAUUUUCUAGUUCCAUCCAUUUACCUAUGAAUUUCAUAAAGUCAUCGUUUUUGAUAGCUGAGUAGUAUUCCAUUGUAUAGAUGUACCACAUUUUCUGUAUCCAUUCCUCUGUUGAAGGGCAUCUGGGUUCUUUCCAGCUUCUGGCUAUUAUAAAUAAGGCUGCUAUGAACAUAGUGGAGCACAUGUCUUUGUUACAUGUUGGGGCAUCUUGUGGGUAUAUGCCCAAGAGAGAUAUAGCUGGAUCUUCAGGUAGUUCAAUGUCCAAUAAUCUGAGGAACCUCCAGAUUGAGUUCCAGAAUUGUUGAACCAGUCUGCAAUCUCACUAACAAUGGAAGAGUGUUCCUCUUUCUCCACAUCCUCGCCAGCAUUUGCUGUCACCUGUGUGUUUGAUCUUAGCCAUUCUCACUGGUGUGAGGUGAAAUCUCAGGGUUGCUUUGACUUGCAUUUCCCUUAGGACUAAAGAUGUUGACCAUUUCUUUAGGUGUUUCUCAGCCAUUCGGCAUUCCUCAGCUGUGCAUUCUUUGUUUAGCUCUGAACCCCAUUUUUACUAGGGUUAUUUGUCUUCCUGCAGUCUAUCUUCUUGAGUUCUUUGUAUAUUUUGGAUAUAAGAUCUCUAUCAGUUGUAGGAGUGGUAAAGAUCUUUUCCCAAUCUACAUUUCACUGAUGACUACAGAUGAACAUUUUAAGAACUCUAUCUUAAUUAUUUGUAUUUCACUGGAACCAGGUGACAUUUUAAUUUGUAAUUCAUUCUCUAUAUUCUAGAAUGGUUGUCAGACCUCUACAGAUAAGGGUUUCUGUUUGUUUUGUUUUGUUUUGUUUGUUUUUGGAUAGUCAAUAGUGGUUAACACAGAAUCUCACAAUUGCUCAAAGUGGAGGGAAUAAGUGCCUAUUUGGCACUUUACAAUUGAGUUAAGUGUGUGGUAAUUUACACUGGUUGUGUAGAUGCCCAUAAGAUAAGUUACUAAGGACCAUUCCUAAGUACAGACACAAUGCAGCCCUCAUUCCUCUCCUCAUUUUUCUCCAUAGUGGUUCUUUAAUGCUCCUCAUUUAAUGUUAUUUAUUUGGUUUUUAAAAUAAAUAGCACAAUAGGAAAUGUCAAAAAGGUAUACAGAGCUACAAAAGAAAACAUCCCUUUCUCUUUCUAUACCUCCUCGUUUUGUCCCGACCCACCCCAUUAACAGAAAAUCAUGAUUAAUGAUUUCGUAUGUAUACUUUCAGACUUAAUCUCAGUCAUGCAGGGAUAUAAAUGUACAUGUUCUCCUACUUUCACUUUUCUCCUCAAACAUUCUAAACAAGGACUCUACUGCAAAGACUCCCGUUUUAACUAAAAGUAGGUAUUGCACUUGGUUUUGCAUGUGUGUAUGUGAGUGUGUGGAGGUCAGAGGUCAACCUGUCAGACUUGAUACUCUCUUUCUACCAUGUGGACCCUUAGGGAGGACUUUAGGUUGUCAGGCUUGACAAGAAGUGUCUCAUACUCCCAAGGCAGUCUCCCUGCCCACCCUCCCAUCCCUAUGUUUCAUUUUUUAAUUCAGCGGUAGCGUCUUACACACAAGUUGUGUGCUGCCAUGCUUCCUUUAACAAUACAUCUUGGAAACCUUUCUAUAAAGGAACCUUCUAAUGUUUUGAAGUAAGGUCUGGAUACAUAGAUCAGGCUGGCCUUGAACUCUGAACUUCCAGUCUCAGCCUCAGAACAUUACUAGGAACACGGAAGUAUACCAGCCUGUCCCUACUUCUCAGCCUUUUUCUUUAACUAUUUUUGAGGUGAGUUCAUUAUACAGAUGUGUAUUCAUGGAUGGCUUCCAAUUCUUUGCUUUUGUUAUAGUGUGUGAGCUUUGCUCAUUAGUACCAGUUUACAUGAUUACGUCGUAGGAUAAAGCCCACAUGGCUUCUUUUCUGGCCUCUGAAUAUUUUUAGUUGAUGUGUUUGAGUCUGUUCCAAAGUUAUGCACAUCUUUCUUCUAUUAAAAACCAAAACUGUACACAAUACACAUAAUCAUUACACACCUGAGCACAGGAAGAUUACGUUUCGGUCUUUUUGUUCUUGCAACCACAUGGUGGCUCACAACCAUCUGUAAUGAGAUCUGUGCCCUCUUCUGAUGUGUCUGAAGACAGUGACAGUGUACUCAUACAUGAAGUAAAUAAUAAAUCCUUAAAAAAGUUUUUAUUUUAUAUGAGUACACUAGCUUUCUUCAGACACAUCAGAAGAGGGCACCAGAUCCCCCUGUAGAUGGUUGUGAGCCACUAUGUGGUUGCUGGGAUUUGAACUGAGGACCUCUGGCAGAGCAGUCAGUGCUCUCAAACUCUGAGCCAUCUCUCCAGCCCGACAUCAUCUUAAGAAAGCAUUUUCUGUGUGUGUGUGUGUGUGUGUGUGUGUGUGUGUGUGUGUGAGAGAGAGAGAGAGAGAGAGAGAGAGAGAGAGAGAGAGAGAGAGAGAGAGAAUUCAGUAGAACACCCAAGUGGAAUCUGCUAAGACCCAUUCAUUAUACCUGAUGAUGGUAAAAAUGCAUAUGGAACAGAAAAAGGCAAAUUAACAAAAUGGUGAGCCCAGGAAACGUAGUAAAUGUUCAAGCUUAUGAUUAUUUAUUGUAUUAUUCACUAGCAGAUACUUUAAGAGUUGGACUGAGUUUCAAUUCUAGAAACUUAUAGUUUAGGGAGGUGGCAGCCCGCUGGCUCACACUGGUCUUGGAAACCCUUCCAAUGUAAGAGUUCUCACAUCUGGACUGUAACUAAGGCUGUCAGGUGAGAGAAGAGAUGGAAUGGUGGCUGAUAGCUGCUGGUGCUUGGCUCUCUUUUCUUUUAAAGCUAAAACUAGAGUUUCAAACUCAUCUGAAACCUAAACAAGUGUUUGGAAUUUCUGUUCUUUCCACAUCACAACUGCCCUCUUGUGGAUAUUUUGUUCAUUCAAAAUAAAAGUUCAUUGGCAUUCAUUUCAACAAGAACGACACUUUGCAGCAAUGAUGAUGAUGAUGAUGAUGAUGAUGAUGAUGAUGAUGAUGAUGAU